CAAAGCCGUCCUGGAUUCGGAUCUCUUAGGCCAUCAAGUGUUGUUGAUAUUGACAUUCAACGACCUGCAUUGAGACCUCUUAGACCCAGUAGUGUUGUUGACAUUGACAUUCAAAAUCGGCCUGGAUGGGGAUCUCUUAGGCCCUCGAGUGUUGUCGACAUUGACGUUCAGCGGCCUACUUUGGGACCAAUUAGGCCCGCGUCUGUUGUUGAUAUUGUCAACAUCCAACGCCCAGUAUCAGAAUCCAUUGCAAUUAGUGAAGCCACCAGUUCUGCUAACAUUUUGGGAGCUGGGUCAUGGAAUAGCUGGCUUCCAAGGAACCCUUGGCUGUCACCACUCCGCCCAAGACCAGCUAGAUUACAAUCAUGGGAAUCAGUUGCUCCACGUAAUGCUCUCGUAACUCCAGUUAGCCCAUUUUGGAACUCGCUAUCCCAAGGUUAUGGUAUUAGUAGACCACUUGGAUUAAGUCCCUUGGAUGGAGUGUCCAGAGCAUCUCAAAGGUCUGUAGGAGUAGAUGCAGUGAUUGGACAACCAAGUGAAAAGAUUGUGAUUAUAAAUAAUGGUCUAAAUAGAGCAGGAUCGAUUGUUUCACCAAGUUACCCUGUCUACAGACCACGUAG